CAACCCCCACGCUCUCCUCCCCCAACCCAUCCCCUCUGCUGCCUCCUUCCAGUUUACCAAGGAGUUAUCAUCUAUUUCCCCUCCCUGGCGGCUGAAACCGAGGCCAGCCUGUCACUGCGGGGUCGUUUUUUUUAGUUGCUGUGAGAUUGGAUUAAAUGCAAGGAGGAAGCUUUAAUUAGGACUUGCAGCUCACAUGUUCUGCUGCAGAUGCGACAAUUUCAUGAAGAAAGCAGCAGGAAUUCAUGAGAAAGCAAGGAAAUAUGGCAACGUUAAAGACGGGAUCCGGAGGAGGCGGUGGAGCACAGCACUGACAUUUCCAGCUGAAAGAUAGAAUCCCUGUUAGCCCACUGAAGAACAGGUGAACCUUGCCUGUAGCUUCGAUGGCUUCUUUUCACUUCUGUUUUCUUUUCAAUAAAAACGCUGAUUCA